rnacentral:sRNA from 1 species
AAAAUAACCAAAAACAC